rnacentral:lncRNA from 1 species
CUUUAUACAUCUAAGUGAAUAGGGGAUAAAGGGAAUAUUGGUGUUGACUUUUGAGAUUGAUCCUGACUGUCAAAAGAAAUUAGAAGUACUGCUACGCAAUUAGGAAAGUAAGAAAUAUGGAUGGAACUCAAAGAAUGCCCUGAGAUGCUUCUGGGUACUAAUGUGUUCAUUGAUAAAAUUAACUGGGAGACCACAGCAUCUGUGUAGAAAAGACAACCAAAGGUUAAGAUUCGUCAAGAAUGAAUGUUUGGGACACUCCAUCAGGACAUGUUGGUGCUGAACAACUUUUCAAUUUGGCCCAUAGGAUUAAAACGGAUUACAAAUUAACUAGAAGAAAAAUGAGCUUGUCGAUGUAGUGAUG